CUUGACGUACUAACAGAAGCCAGGGUAAUACUGCCGCAGCGGGGUAUAAGUAGUGGCAGCGUUUCGGAAUUAUGGGCGAAAGCGGGGCAGGGGUUUCUUAGUUUGAUGGAAAGCCCACGGCUCAACCGGGAGGGUCAUUGGAAACUGGGAGACUUGAGUGCAGAAGAGGAAAGUGGAAUUCCAUGUGUAGCGGUGAAAUGCGUAGAGAUAUGGAGGAACACCAGUGGCGAGGGCGACUUUCUGGUCUGUAACUGACAUUGAGGCGCGAAAGCGUGGGAGCAAACAGGAUAGAUACCCUGGUAGUCCACGCCGUAAACGAUGAGUGCUAAGUGUUAGAGGGUUUCCGCCCUUUAGUGCUGAAGUUAACGCAUUAAGCACUCCGCCUGGGGAGUACGGCCGCAAGGCUGAAACUCAAAGGAAUUGACGGGGGCCCGCACAAGCGGUGGAGCAUGUGGUUUAAUUCGAAGCAACGCGAAGAACCUUACCAGGUCUUGACAUCCUCUGACAACCCUAGAGAUAGGGCUUCUCCUUCGGGAGCAGAGUGACAGGUGGUGCAUGGUGGUCGUCAGCUCGUGUCGUGAGAUGUUGGGUUAAGUCCCGCAACGAGCGCAACCCUUGAUCUUAGUUGCCAUCAUUAAGUUGGGCACUCUAAGGUGACUGCCGGUGACAAACCGGAGGAAGGUGGGGAUGACGUCAAAUCAUCAUGCCCCUUAUGACCUGGGCUACACACGUGCUACAAUGGACGGUACAAAGAGCUGCAAGACCGCGAGGUGGAGUUAAUCUCAUAAAACCGUUCUCAGUUAGGAUUGUAGGCUGCAACUCGCCUACAUAACAAGGUAACCGUAGAGUUUGAUCCUGGCUCAUGUAAGUCGUAACAAGGUAACCGU
rnacentral:rRNA from 1 species